UAGGAACCGGAACAUAAGCGGCCUCAAGCCGUAACCAGCCGGGCUUUGGCUGGUUACGGCUUGAGGUCCUUAUGUGCAGGUUUCUGCGGC
rnacentral:sRNA from 1 species